CCUACGGGCGGCAGCAGUGAGGAAUAUUGGUCAAUGGACGUGAGUCUGAACCAGCCAAGUAGCGUGAAGGAUGACUGCCCUAUGGGUUGUAAACUUCUUUUAUAUGGGAAUAAAAUGUUCCACGUGUGGGUUUUUGUAUGUACCCUAUGAAUAAGGAUCGGCUAACUCCGUGCCAGCAGCCGCGGUAAUACGGAGGAUCCGAGCGUUAUCCGGAUUUAUUGGGUUUAAAGGGAGCGUAGGUGGAUUGUUAAGUCAGUUGUGAAAGUUUGCGGCUCAACCGUAAAAUUGCAGUUGAAACUGGCAGUCUUGAGUACGGUAGAGGUGGGCGGAAUUCGUGGUGUAGCGGUGAAAUGCUUAGAUAUCACGAAGAACUCCGAUUGCGAAGGCAGCUCACUGGACUGCAACUGACACUGAGGCUCGAAAGUGUGGGUAUCAAACAGGAUUAGAUACCCUUGUAGUC
rnacentral:rRNA from 1 species